GGUAAUUAAAUGUGUUGGAGUCUUCUGCUUUGGUCGUUGAGGAUCACUCGAUAAGAUUCUAGUGUGGUAUUUAGGUGCCUCGCAAGUGUUUUGACGAGAAAUUCAACGAAACGAUCGGCAUAGGAUGAUGAUGACUAAAGCGCGUUGACAUAAUCACGACACCCGAAAAAUUAAAAUUUGUCCCUUUCAAGUUUUCGUGCACAGCGGUGCGGGCGAUGGCAUUUCUCGGUGCAUUUGCGUGUUAUUUAACCGCUUUUCGCUUAGAAUUGUUGUUGUCUAGCGUACGUGGUGGCACAUGAGUGGUGAAUGGAUCAUUUGGUUUGGUAGGCUCUUUGCUCACGUGCAACGAACUAUCAAGUCUUGAUCCUCUUCAUUUGAAUACCCCCGAUGCCAAGUGCACUUUGGGGGGCGGAUGGUUCCUGUAUUGGCUACCCACUAUAGAGGAAAUCGAAUGUUCAUUAAAUAUUUUUCGCCCUUUGUUCAUCUUAAGAAAAAAGGGUGAACCAAGUAGCUUUGCCCGUGUUCCAAGCAAGCAUGCCGAAAAGCUGUUGCUAUGGCACAUGGACAAUGACUUGUGCUCUCGGGUGCAGAAAGCAAUGAGGGCGGACGAAACACAUUCGUCCAUUUGCCCAAUUGUUCCUUCAAAUGAACGACGUCCGUGCUCGUGCUGAUUUGGCAUUAUCUUUGGGUAAUGACUACGGUCAGUCGGGUUUCGG
rnacentral:misc_RNA from 1 species